UGUGUGUGUGUGUGUGUGUGUGUGUGUGUGUGUGUGUGUGUGUGUGUGUGUGUGUGUGUGUGUGUGUGUGUGUGUGUGUGUGUGUGUGUGUGUGUGUGUGUGUGGUGUGUGUGUGUGUGUGUGUGUGUGUGUGUGUGUGUGUGUGUGUGUGUGUGUACAGACAGACACCCCAGAAGACAUGAAAGGCUGGAUCAAGGAUAUCUCCUCAAAAAUUCAAGACUUUAGAGGACCAAGUAAGUUCCGCUCUUCCAGCAAAACCUUUUCUGCGCAGAGGAAGCCUCAGCUUGUGAAGUCCGUCUCCACUGUAGAUUCGUGGCAGCCGUGGACCCCGGUGCCCAAUCAGGAGAAGCAUUCGAAGGAAGAGUGUCAGAGAGAAGGGCCGUACAGCUCUCUUCCCUCACUCUCACACAUGGGCCACAUCUUUCAGUCAACGACUCGACAGUCUCGACAGCGACACCAUUCCCAGCCUCAACUCGCUCCCAGCGACACAGACUUUCCCGACAGUCUCGACAAUCUCCGCUCCACUGAUGUUUAGUUUGCUUUAAUGGAUACUGCUGGCCAGCACAUGGAUAGUGUUAGGAUUUUAGCUUUUUGAUUGUUGCUUUUCUUGUUUAGUGGUGCGCACACAAGUGCGUCAGUCAUUGCAAUGCUGCUCACUCACUCUAAAGGAAUAGUUCCCUAAUUUAGUUCCCAAAUAGUACCCAAAAAUCCUGUCAUUAUUUACUCAACCUCCUGUUAUGCUCCGACAAGCAAUGUAUGGCAAGAAUUGUGAACCGAUUCUUCAAGCAGUCUUACUUUUUAAACAAAAUACUAUUUUAGGAACAAAAAAACUGGUUUGUAACAAUAUGUAGACAAGAAUUUUCUAAUUUUGGCUGAACUAUUCCUUUAAAAUAAUGUGUCUUAUGUAUGAAGGAAUGUAAAAUGAGGAAGGAUCAUCUGGUGAAAAGACAUUUCAUGUGUUGUUUUGCUUUAAUUAAUUUCCCAUGACAUAAAGUGGGGUCUGAAAGUCUGAGACAACUUGUGAAAUGCUUUUUUGUAUUAUAUGAUAUGUUUAUAAUGAUAUUUUCAGCACACACACACAAAAAAAAAAAAAAAAUAAUAUGAGUGAAUAGUUAAGAUUCUUAGUAUUUGGUAGAUCCAUCUUUUGCUUUAAUGACAGCGGUACUUGAGCUGACAUGAACUGAUGAACAUGUUAUCCAGCAGGAUUUAAGAAUGUCCCAAAGAGCAUCUUGUGCACUGCAAUGAAUAUUUUGCUUUGUUUUACAUCAUAACUUUGUUUUUUUAAAUAUGAGAUAUUUACAUUUCAAGAUUUAAACACCUAAGUUUUCAAUGUGGUCUCAAACUUUUGGACCUGCUUGUACACUUGAAAAUGUCCUUGGUACGUGUGGUAGACUUCAGUCAAGGCAUGUGGACUUAUUUUGAAGACAUUCUGUUUUCAAUAUCACUAAUGAAGGCGCUUGAAGGAUUAGGUCAACUUUGACUAGACAGACAUUCUAUAAUGAUUUUCGUGACUGAAAACAUUUUAAUAUUGAUUACUUUGAAAUGCCUUAAAAUGUUAAUAGAAUUAUUUCUUUUGUUGUUGUGAAUGGUACUGCAUGUUGCCAAGUAGGCAAUGUGUCUGUUGCUCUUGUACUUGUUUUUUAUAUAUAUAUAUUCGUCAUUGUUAGAUAUGCAUCAUCGCUUUGCACAUGAAAUAAACCAGUCUUUGAAGGGAAAAAAUGACAAGUCUGAAAAGUCUUUGCUCCUCCUGUCCAAAAAGCGUCGCUCUUUGACACUGAACCGAAAAUUUUUUCAGGCUUGCGCGUGAUUAAGCAGAGCUAUCUCUGUCUGACCGUUUUCUCAAAUCGUUCAGAUAUAAAUAUGCAAUUUUUAUAAAAUAAAAAAAAAUUCCUAAUCGGUCACAUUUUAAGAAUGACAUCAUUCAGGUGUAAAUUAUCCUUCAGAUUAUGUCCGGCGCAAUGUCACGU
ensembl:lncRNA